UAGAGUUUGAUCCUGGCUCAGAUUGAACGCUGGCGGCAUGCCUUACACAUGCAAGUCGAACGGUAACGCGGGGCAACCUGGCGACGAGUGGCGAACGGGUGAGUAAUGCAUCGGAACGUGCCCAGUAGUGGGGGAUAGCCCGGCGAAAGCCGGAUUAAUACCGCCUACGACAUACGGGUGAAAGGGGGGGACCGCAAGACCUCUGCGCUAUUGGAGCGGCCGAUGUCAGAUUAGGUAGUUGGUGGGGUAAAGGCCUACCAAGCCAACGAUCUGUAGCUGGUCUGAGAGGACGACCAGCCACACUGGGACUGAGACACGGCCCAGACUCCUACGGGAGGCAGCAGUGGGGAAUUUUGGACAAUGGGCGCAAGCCUGAUCCAGCAAUGCCGCGUGCAGGAAGAAGGCCUUCGGGUUGUAAACCGCUUUUGUCACGGAACGAAACGGUCUGGGUUAAUACCCUGGGCUAAUGACGGACCGAAGAA
rnacentral:rRNA from 1 species